rnacentral:misc_RNA from 1 species
AAUUAGCUCGCGUUAGCGAUUGAACGGUUUGUUUGAGCUCUUUUUUCUUCUUGUUCUGAAGAAAAAAAGCGAGUAGUGAAAGCGCGACCUCCU